GACGAACCGUGCGAACGUUGUUCGGAAUCACUGGGCUUAAAGGGCGCGUAGGCGGACUGCCAAGUCCGGGGUGAAUCCUCCGGCUUAACCGGAGAAUUGCCUGGGAUACUGGCGGUCUUGAGGGAGGUAGGGGCACGCGGAACUUCCGGUGGAGCGGUGAAAUGCGUUGAUAUCGGAAGGAACGCCGGUGGCGAAAGCGGCGUGCUGGCCCUCUUCUGACGCUGAGGCGCGAAAGCCAGGGGAGCGAACGGG
rnacentral:rRNA from 1 species